UACAGAGGGUGCGAGCGUUAAUCGGAAUUACUGGGCGUAAAGCGAGCGUAGACGGUUAUUUAAGUCGGAUGUGAAAGCCCCGGGCUCAACCUGGGAAUUGCAUUCGAGACUGAAUAGCUAGGGUACGGUAGAGGGAAGCGGAAUUUCCGGUGUAGCGGUGAAAUGCGUAGAUAUCGGAAGGAACAUCAGUGGCGAAAGCGGCUUCCUGGACCAGUACCGACGUUCAGGCACGAAAGCGUGGGGAGCAAACAGG
rnacentral:rRNA from 1 species